GACGAACGCUGGCGGCGUGCUUAACACAUGCAAGUCGAACGGAAAGGCCCUGCUUUUGUGGGGUGCUCGAGUGGCGAAAGGGUGAGUAACACGUGAGUAACCUGCCCUUGACUUUGGGAUAACUUCAGGAAACUGGGGCUAAUACCGGAUAGGAGCUCCUGCUGCAUGGUGGGGGUUGGAUAGUUUCGGCGGUUGGGGAUGGACUCGCGGCUUAUCAGCUUGUUGGUGGGGUAGUGGCUUACCAAGGCUUUGACGGGUAGCCGGCCUGAGAGGGUGACCGGCCACAUUGGGACUGAGAUACGGGCCAGACUCCUACGGGAGGCAGCAGUGGGAAAUAGUGCACACUGGGCGGAAGCCUGAUGCAGCAACGCCGCGUGCGGGAUGACGGCCGUCGGGUUGUAAACCGCUUUCGCCUGUGACGAAGCGUGAGUGACGGUAAUGGGUAAAGAAGCACCGGCUAACUACGUG
rnacentral:rRNA from 1 species